rnacentral:rRNA from 1 species
UGGGGAAUAUUGCACAAUGGGCGAAAGCCUGAUGCAGCGACGCCGCGUGCGGGAUGAAGGCCUUCGGGUUGUAAACCGCUUUUGAUUGGGGAGCAAGCGAGAGUGAGUGUACCUUUCGAAUAAGCACCGGCUAACUACGUGCCAGCAGCCGCGGUAAUACGUAGGGUGCAAGCGUUAUCCGGAAUUAUUGGGCGUAAAGAGCUCGUAGGCGGUUUGUCGCGUCUGGUGUGAAAGUCCAUCGCUUAACGGUGGAUCUGCGCCGGGUACGGGCAGGCUAGAGUGCGACAGGGGAGACUGGAAUUCCCGGUGUAACGGUGGAAUGUGUAGAUAUCGGGAAGAACACCAAUGGCGAAGGCAGGUCUCUGGGUCGUCACUGACGCUGAGGAGCGAAAGCGUGGGGAGCGAACAGGAUUAGAUACCCUGGUAGUCCACGCCGUAAACGGUGGAUGCUGGAUGUGGGGCCCAUUCCACGGGUUCCGUGUCGGAGCUAAC